AAAGGGGGGAAAAAAUCUCGGGAUUGAUUUGAUUACUCUGCAUCGGAGCUGUAAUCCCUUCCUUCUCUGCGAGUUGCGGACGGGUAGAAGCGGCGGCAAGGGGAAGGCAUGGCUUCGACGAGCCACUCCAUGGUGGCGCCCACUAUCUACGGGGGGAGGAUCCCCCGCGCCGGCGCGGGGAAGGCGGCGGCGCUGCCGUCGCUGCCUCUCCUCGUUCGCCUCGGCUGCGGCGGCGGGAGGAGACGGAUGGCGAGGCAGAUCCGGUCUCUGCUGCUCCCUUCUUCCUCUCCUGCGGAGAGGAAGAACGAGGGCUCUUCCAAGCCGCUGAUCCCUCUUUCGGCCCAGAACGCCGCCAUGGCCGCCAUCCUGUUCUCCGCCGUGUCCUCCUCCCCCGCCUUCGCCGUGGACGGCGGCGUUUCUCCUCCGCCUCAGCCAUUUCUUUCCUCCCCGCC
rnacentral:lncRNA from 1 species